CCCAUUUCCGUUCGGUCUUAGAGCCGCGCGUGCAUUGUGGCGAGUUGGCGGCGGAAAUCGCGCCGGAGAUCGUGUUCAGUGAUCGCAACAUUAGCCGGUGGCUGAAUGAUAUGUAUAUGUAAGUCGAGCCGCGGUACCUGUGAGUAAUCAUACAACGUCUGGUGUUUGUGCAAUCCAAUGGAGCCAGUGAGUCUUGGUGGGACAGGGGAAGCUAGCUGCAUUUAUUCGGUGCGCUCAGUGUGCCAACACAACAAUUUCCCUCUGGUGUAGGUGGUGUUUGAUUUUUGGUGUGACUUGAGGUGGGUUUAGAUGACCUCCCGAGCUGUAGCUGGCCUGCCUUGUUCCUGCCAAGCCUGGGCCUGGAGAAGUGCAGUUUUAAAAUCCUUAUUGUACUUCAUGGGAGAGUGACUUUUUAUAUUUAUGUUAAGUGUCAUAAUAAAAUGUAAUUUUUAUAUUUGUA